ACGAACGCUGGCGGCGUGCUUAACACCUGCCAGUCGAACGGUGAAGGGGUCUGCUUUUGUGGGCCCUGGAUGAGUGGCGACCGGGUGAGUAACACGUGAGUAACCUGCCCCCUUCUUCUGGAUAACCGCAUGAAAGUGUGGCUAAUACGGGAUAUUCUGGGUCUGUCGCAUGAUGGGUCUGGGAAAGAUUGCGCCUUUGGGUGUUUUUGGUGGGGGAUGGGCUCGCGGCCUAUCAGCUUGUUGGUGGGGUGAUGGCCUACCAAGGCGGUGACGGGUAGCCGGCCUGAGAGGGUGGACGGUCACACUGGGACUGAGACACGGCCCAGACUCCUACGGGAGGCAGCAGUGGGGAAUAUUGCACAAUGGGCGCAAGCCUGAUGCAGCGACGCCGCGUGAGGGAUGGAGGCCUUCGGGUUGUAAACCUCUUUCGCCAGUGAAGCAGGCCUGCUCCUUGUGGGUGGGUUGACGGUAGCUGGAGAAGAAGCGCCGGCUAACUACGUG
rnacentral:rRNA from 1 species